GUGAGGUAAUGCAGGCACGCUUUGUUGUUCACAUCUCCUUUCCUGUCUUUCUCAAACAGUCAAGGCCAGCAGUCUACUUUACGUCAGCAUGUCGAGCAGACUUCAUUUGACCAAGAGGUGGCAGUGUAGCUCUCAGGAUCCCUCCUCGUGUCACUGAUCUUCUCCUUUGUGUCUUGGAGAGAUUAAGCAGUUCGAUUGGCAGAAUGAUUUGAUUAAAGAAGGCUCUUUGGUGUUAAAGAGAGCCUUUGAAGAUGAAACAACUGCAUUCCAAGUCCCAGUCUCCCUCCCUGGAGACAUGCUUUCCAAAAGGCUACAGCCACGGCACAAAGCUAGCCUUGACAUUUGCAUAAAUCCAUCAGCGUCACCACGACAGCGCCGACUCCUAGGUCACCAUCCGCCGAUAAAUUUAGAAAGAAAACAAAACUAGGCAGGAAUGGUAAAAAAACUGUUCUAAAGAUUGUGCAUUGCUAUGCUGCAGUCAGAUGAUUACAUUGACAGGUCUCAGAUGAGCGCUUUUCAGGAACAAGCUAUACAAAAACAGCCAUGGCUUUUGUUAAUGCCUGGAGUUUUACAACAUGACAUGUAAGUGUGCGUGAGUUUGUUUAUGUGUGUGAGAGAGUGCUGCUUGAAGAAGGAGGGAGUGCAUAUGAAUUCGUCUGUUCAAGAUUCACAAGUAAAUGCUGUGGACAAGGCCACUGGCCUCACCUGGCAGUCGAUUGUCUUAAUUUCACCAGUGUCACUUUCAGUUUAACCGGAGCCUGAGAUGAGAGUUAACUCUGCAGGCUCCACCUCCUGCUCUCUGGAGCUACAAGUGUGCAGGCUGAAACAGCAGUGGCUUACAGACAGGAAGUAGACAACUGUGUGACAAGAGAUCAUCUUCAGACUGAAUGGUUAUUGUAGCUGGAUCUGUAAUGAUCCGGCAUGUUUGACACAGUUGCAUGUUGUUGUUGUUGUUUUUUUUUUUUUAAGAAUUA